GACGAACGCUGGCGGCGUGCUUAACACAUGCAAGUCGAACGAAGUGGCGAACGGGUGAGUAACGCGUAAUCAACCUGCCCUUCAGAGGGGGACAACAGUUGGAAACGACUGCUAAUACCGCAUACUGAAGGAGGGGAUUGCGUCUGAUUAGCUAGUUGGAGGGGUAACGGCCCACCAAGGCGAUGAUCAGUAGGCGGGUCGGGAGGAAUGACGGCCACAAUGGGAACGGGAAACGGCCCAGAAUCCUACCGGAGGGAGCAGGGGGGGAUCUUCCGCAAAUGAAGGAAAGCCGGAGGAGCCAAGCCGCGGUGGUUAUGACGGCCUUCGGGGUGUAAAGCUCUGGUAAUCGGGAAGCGGUACCGGAAUAGAAAGCCACGGCUAACUACGGGCCAGCAGCCGCGGUAAUAC
rnacentral:rRNA from 1 species